rnacentral:rRNA from 1 species
UACAGAGGUCCCAAGCGUUGUUCGGAUUCAUUGGGCGUAAAGGGUGUGUAGGUGGCGCCGUAAGUCGGGUGUGAAAUUUCGGAGCUUAACUCCGAAACUGCAUUCGAUACUGCGGUGCUUGAGGACUGGAGAGGAGACUGGAAUUCAUUGUGUAGCAGUGAAAUGCGUAGAGAUCAUGAGGAAGACCAGUGGCGAAGGCGGGUCUCUGGACAGUUCCUGACACUGAGACACGAAGGCCAGGGGAGCAAACGGG